UGGGCGCGAGGAACGACCGACUCAGAACUGUUGCGGACAAGGGGAAUCCGACUGUUUAAUUAAAACAAAGCAUUGCGAUGGCGGUUGGCGGCAAUGUUGACGCAAUGUGAUUUCUGUCCAGUGCUCUGAAUGUCAAAGUGAAGAAAUUCAGAGC
rnacentral:rRNA from 15 species